AGUGAACGCUGGCGGUAGGCCUAACACAUGCAAGUCGAACGGCAGCACAGUAAGAGCUUGCUCUUACGGGUGGCGAGUGGCGGACGGGUGAGGAAUACAUCGGAAUCUACUUUUUCGUGGGGGAUAACGUAGGGAAACUUACGCUAAUACCGCAUACGACCUACGGGUGAAAGCAGGGGAUCUUCGGACCUUGCGCGAUUGAAUGAGCCGAUGUCGGAUUAGCUAGUUGGCGGGGUAAAGGCCCACCAAGGCGACGAUCCGUAGCUGGUCUGAGAGGAUGAGCAGCCACACUGGAACUGAGACACGGUCCAGACUCCUACGGGAGGCAGCAGUGGGGAAUAUUGGACAAUGGGCGCAAGCCUGAUCCAGCCAUACCGCGUGGGUGAAGAAGGCCUUCGGGUUGUAAAGCCCUGUUGUUGGGAAAGAAAAGCAGCAGGUUAAUACCCCGCUGUUCUGACGGUACCCAAAGAAUAAGCACCGGCUAACUUCGUG
rnacentral:rRNA from 1 species